GUUUGAUCCUGGCUCAGAUUGAACGCUGGCGGCAUGCCUUACACAUGCAAGUCGAACGGCAGCGGACCUUCGGGUGCCGGCGAGUGGCGAACGGGUGAGUAAUGCAUCGGAACGUACCCUAGAGUGGGGGAUAACUAUCCGAAAGGAUAGCUAAUACCGCAUAUUCUAUGAGUAGGAAAGCGGGGGAUCUUCGGACCUCGCGCUCUAGGAGCGGCCGAUGUCAGAUUAGCUAGUUGGUGGGGUAAAGGCCUACCAAGGCGACGAUCUGUAGCGGGUCUGAGAGGAUGAUCCGCCACACUGGGACUGAGACACGGCCCAGACUCCUACGGGAGGCAGCAGUGGGGAAUUUUGGACAAUGGGGGCAACCCUGAUCCAGCCAUGCCGCGUGAGUGAAGAAGGCCUUCGGGUUGUAAAGCUCUUUCGGCCGGGAAGAAAUCGUGUGGGCUAAUACCCUGCAUGGAUGACGGUACCGGAAUAAGAAGCACCGGCUAACUACGUGCCAGCAGCCGCGGUAAUACGUAGGGUGCGAGCGUUAAUCGGAAUUACUGGGCGUAAAGCGUGCGCAGGCGGUUUUUUAAGACAGGCGUGAAAUCCCCGGGCUUAACCUGGGAACUGCGCUUGUGACUGGAAGGCUAGAGUACGGCAGAGGGGGGUGGAAUUCCACGUGUAGCAGUGAAAUGCGUAGAGAUGUGGAGGAACACCGAUGGCGAAGGCAGCCCCCUGGGCCGAUACUACGCUCUGCCCAAAGCGACC
rnacentral:rRNA from 1 species